CCCUUAGAUGUUCUGGGCCGCACGCGCGCUACACUGACGAUGGCAACGAGUUUUUCCUUCGCCGAAAGGUGUGGGUAAUCUUUUGAAACAUCGUCGUGCUGGGGAUAGAUCAUUGCAAUUUUUGAUCUUGAACGAGGAAUUCCUAGUAAGCGCGAGUCAUCAGCUCGCGUUGAUUACGUCCCUGCCCUUUGUACACACCGCCCGUCGCUACUACCGAUUGAACGUUUUAGUGAGGUAUUUGGACUGGGCCUUGGGAGGUUUCGGCCUCCCUUGUUGCUCGGAAAGACUCCCAAACUUGAGCGUUUAGAGGAAGUAAAAGUCGUAACA
rnacentral:rRNA from 1 species